rnacentral:misc_RNA from 1 species
AAACACAAACAAAUCGAAGACUGAAGAAACACAAGAGGAUGAUGUGAAGAUUGACUGGCCUGAAGACUCCGUGUCCAAAGCUAAGAUCAUCAGAUCCAAAGCCCAAUCAAUGUCAGGAGAUGUGGAAGCAGUUUCCAACAGUUUUGUUACAGGUAUCUCGGAGAUAGUCGAAGCUUACAUGGCAGCUGCCCUUGAGAGCAGCACCUCUUCCUCCGAAAAACACGAGGGUCUUACACAAGAACAGAAGUCGAU